rnacentral:sRNA from 1 species
UGGCAGAAAGUAUGUCUCGCUUAGU